rnacentral:tRNA from 1 species
UGGGGUAUAGCUCAGUGGUAGAGUUGAUGCUUAGCAUGCAUGAGGUCGUGGGUUCAAUCCCUGGUACUUCCA